UAAAAAUUUAUGAUUUUCGUAAUUUAUUUAUAAUUUAUUUUACAUGUAAAUUUUAGUAUGAUUUUUACAUUAUUUUAAUAAUAAUGAUUUAUUUUGCAGUAAUUAAUAUUAAAAAUUUAAGAAAUUAAGAUUUAGUAAUAUUAAAAUUAUUAACAAAUUUUGUGCCAGCAGUUGCGGUUAUACAAAAAUUAAAAUAAAUUUUUUUAGUUAUAAUAAAUAUAUUUAAUUUAAAUUAAAUUUUAAAUUAUUAAGUGAAAUUUUAAUUUAAUAAAAUUUUAUUUAAGAAAUAUGAUUUAAUAAAUUUAUUAAGAAACUAGGAUUAGAUACCCUAUUAUUAAAAAUUUAAUUUAAAAUACUAAAAUAGUAGAUAAUAUUAUUGAAACUUAAAUAAUUUGGCGGUAUUUUAGUUCAUUUAGAGGAAUCUGUUUAAUAAUUGAUAAUCCACGAAUAAAUUUACUUAAUUUAAUAUUUUGUAUAUCGUUGUUAAAAAAAUAUUUUUAAAUAAAAAUAAUAUUUAAAAAUUAAAAAUAGAAAUUAGUUCAGAUCAAGAUGCAGAUAAUAAUUAAGAAUAUAAUGGAUUACAAUAAAUUUAUUUAAAUGAAUUUUAUUUUUGUAAUAAAUAAUUGAAAUUGGAUUUAAAUGUAAUUUUAUUUAAUUUAAUAAAAUGAUUAAAAAUUAAAAUAUGUACAUAUUGCCCGUCACUUUCAUUUUAAAAUUGGAAUAAGUCGUAACAAAGUAGAGGUACUGGAAAGUGUUUCUAGAAAGAC
rnacentral:ncRNA from 1 species